AAUAAGUACAACCAUGGUUUUCCGCGCUCAACUUUAACCAUUCAUCUUAUUUAAAAAUUUUUUAAAAAAAAUUAAAAACAUAAGUCACGAGUAAAGUACUAUUCAUGUUUUAUCAUCUUAUAACAACAAAAAUGCUAAUUAUAAAAAAAAUCAAAUAAGAUGGACGAUCAAAAUUGAUUGCGAAAACUCAUGGCUGUACUUAUU
rnacentral:pre_miRNA from 1 species